rnacentral:rRNA from 1 species
AACGAACGCUGGCGGCAGGCUUAACACAUGCAAGUCGAGCGCCCCGCAAGGGGAGCGGCAGACGGGUGAGUAACGCGUGGGAAUCUACCCAUCUCUACGGAAUAACGCAUGGAGACGUGUGCUAAUACCGUAUACGUCCUUCGGGAGAAAGAUUUAUCGGAGAUGGAUGAGCCCGCGUUGGAUUAGCUAGUUGGUGGGGUAAAGGCCUACCAAGGCGACGAUCCAUAGCUGGUCUGAGAGGAUGAUCAGCCACACUGGGACUGAGACACGGCCCAGACUCCUACGGGAGGCAGCAGUGGGGAAUAUUGAACAAGGGGCGCAAGCCUGAUCGAGCCAUGCCGCGUGAGUGAUGAAGGCCCUAGGGUUGUAAAGCUCUUUCACCGGUGGAGAUAAUGACGGUAACCGGAGAAGAAGCCCCGGCUAACUUCGUGCCAGCCGCCGCCGUAACAC